GAUGAACGCUGGCGGCGUGCCUAAUACAUGCAAGUCGAGCGAACGGACGAGAAGCUUGCUUCUCUGAUGUUAGCGGCGGACGGGUGAGUAACACGUGGAUAACCUACCUAUAAGACUGGGAUAACUUCGGGAAACCGUAGCUAAUACCGGAUAAUAUUUUGAACCGCAUGGUUCAAAAGUGAAAGACGGUCUUGCUGUCACUUAUAGAUGGAUCCGCGCUGCAUUAGCUAGUUGGUAAGGUAACGGCUUACCAAGGCAACGAUGCAUAGCCGACCUGAGAGGGUGAUCGGCCACACUGGAACUGAGACACGGUCCAGACACCUACGGGAGGAAGCAGUAGGGAAUCUUCCGCGAUGGGCGAAAGCCUGACGGAGCAACGCCGCGUGAGUGAUGAAGGUCUUCGGAUCGUAAAACUCUGUUAUUAGGGAAGAACAUAUGUGUAAGUAACUGUGCACAUCUUGACGGUACCUAAUCAGAAAGCCACGGCUAACUACGUG
rnacentral:rRNA from 1 species